rnacentral:rRNA from 1 species
AUUGAACGCUGGCGGCAGGCCUAACACAUGCAAGUCGAACGAGUGGCGGACGUGUGAGUAAUGUCUGGGAAACUGCCUGAUGGAGGGGGAUAAAUAGUGGAAACUGUAGCUAAUACCGCAAACCAUCGGAAGUGCCCAUAUGGGAUUAGCGAGUAGGUGGGGUAAAGGCACACCUAGGCGACGAUCCCUAGCUGGUCUGAGAGGAGGACCAGCAACACUGGAACUGAGACACGGUCCAGACUCCUACGGGAGGCAGCAGUGGGGAAUAUUGCACAAUGGGCGCAAGCCUGAUGCAGCCAUGCCGCGUGUAUGAAGAAGGCCUUCGGGUUGUAAAGUACUUUCAGCGGGGAGGCGUUACCCGCAGAAGAAGCACCGGCUAACUCCGUGCCAGCAGCCGCGGUAAUUC